UAAAAAUAAAAGCUGGUAGGUUAUUUUAAAUUUACAAUUUAGAAAAUUAUCGAAUUUCAUCAUUUUGCUGGAUAUAAAAGCAUUGAAUCCCAAACAUUAUUUAUCAGUUACCAUUUGCAAACGUUUAUACAACGAUCGCCAAAUUUCAAUCAACAUGAAGAAUAUAAUUAUGAUUUCUGCUGUCGUGAUGAUGAUGGUCCUCAUUGCCCAUCUUGGCACCGUGGAAGCGGGUGGGUUUAGUUUGGGCUGCACCAUAUCCUGUGGAAUAUGGAACGCUUGCCGUGGCAAAUCCGCUCUUUCUGGAAGUCUCACACAAUGUGGACCAGAACCUUCAGGCUGUCGGUGUAAUUCGUUUUAUUGGGAGUAAACAGAAAUUAGUAUUUUAAGUGCCCUUAUUUAUUUUAAUAAACAUUCAAUAGAAUUUA